rnacentral:rRNA from 1 species
GUGGGGAAUUUUGGACAAUGGGCGCAAGCCUGAUCCAGCAAUGCCGCGUGCAGGAAGAAGGCCUUCGGGUUGUAAACUGCUUUUGUACGGAACGAAACGGUCCGGGUUAAUACCCUGGGCUAAUGACGGUACCGUAAGAAUAAGCACCGGCUAACUACGUGCCAGCAGCCGCGGUAAUACGUAGGGUGCAAGCGUUAAUCGGAAUUACUGGGCGUAAAGCGUGCGCAGGCGGUUUUGUAAGACAGGCGUGAAAUCCCCGGGCUCAACCUGGGAAUUGCGCUUGAGACUGCAAGGCUGGAGUGCGGUAGAGGGGGAUGGAAUUCCGCGUGUAGCAGUGAAAUGCGUAGAUAUGCGGAGGAACACCGAUGGCGAAGGCAAUCCCCUGGACCUGUACUGACGCUCAUGCACGAAAGCGUGGGGAGCAAACAGGAUUAGAUACCCGAGUAGUCC